UACGUAGGGUGCAAGCGUUAAUCGGAAUCACUGGGCUUAAAGGGUGCGUAGGCGGCGCGGAAAGUUGGGUGUGAAUCCCUCGGCUCAACCGAGGACUGCGCCCAAUACUACCGUGCUCGAGGGAGAUAGAGGUGAGCGGAACUUAGGGUGGAGCGGUGAAAUGCGUUGAUAUCCGUAAGGAACACCGGUGGCGAAAGCGGCUCACUGGAUCUCUUCG
rnacentral:rRNA from 1 species